UUGUUGUUGCUAUUGGUGCUAGUAGUAAGAUAAUUAACACUUGUUGUUUUAAGACUCCCCCAUCCCAAUAUCCUCUGGAAGCAGGAGUGGAUGUUCGCACCCCUUACCUAUCACUUCAGGCUUUUUGCAGAGCCUAAAAGGAGAGUGACGCGGGCGGGCGCUGAUUGGCCGAGCCGAGAAAGGGAGGCUGCGAAGAGGAGGAGGCGGCGCUACGCCCCACGACUAAUUAUUACAAGAAGACGGCGGCGACGUGAACCACUGAAUGCUAUUUAAAGGGACAGCGGCCCGUCCCACGUCGUGUCUGUAUUCCCCCACCCCCCCCGGGAGGGAUCCGAGGCGAACGGAGGGGCGGGAGCACGGCCGGGGGCUGAGCGGGCAGCUGCCGCCCGCACCGGGCAGGUUGAGCGGGCGAGCCCUGAGGCGGGCGGGGGGGCUGCACCCCUCAGGCUGGGGGCCGGGGCCUGCAGCGGGCGUUGCGGGGCGGUCUGUGAGGAGAAGGAGAUCCCUCGGCACGUCGUCGUCCACCCUUCUUCCCCCUCCACAAAUAAAUUUAUUUCUCUGCAAAAAUCCCCUGUGGCCGCCUGCUGCCACCCCUCCGCCCGAGGGGCGCCUCACAGCCGUGCGGGGGAGGCUCCCCCUCAGGGAGCGGGGCUCGCUAGGGGCUCAGGCCGGCUCUGAGCGGGGCUGCCCGCCGCCCCCUGCCCUGCGACGUGUGGAUCUUUUGUUAUCUACAGUGUGUCACAUGACUUGUUUCUGUUUCUCUCUUUUUUUUUUUUCUUUUUUUUUUUUUUAAAUAAUUUAUUUAUUUAUUUCACGUUGGGGCUCGGAGACAAUACCCCGCAGCUUAUUUUUACGCAGGACGUUUCCACGUUCCACCCACUGUACACAGUCUCGCCCCAUGUUGCAGGCGGUGGUAAACUGUACCAGGAAGGUUUUAAAGGUGAGAUUUAAGGGUGAUGAGUGACUUGGUGGCUCAAAGCAGAUAGGAAGGGAGUGCAGGGUUCUGGAGAGUUGAAACAAGACAAAUGAAAGAGGAAUUUAUCUGUGGAUAGUGGAGAGGAGCACGCCAAGGCUGGAGUAGGUGCCAGGAGAUAAGCUGAGUUUGUGUAGAGUUUUGAAGGAGGAGAGAAAAAACGAGCAGUUGUCAAGCUCAGGAGAAGCCAGAGAAGCUGAAGGUGGGUAGAAUAUCUUUCCAUUUCCAAGGGGAACAGUGAACAGAUUUUAAAAAUCGUUGCUCUGCUUUUGAGCAAAGGAACUAGAGACUAUCCUAAGGAAGGCAUUGCAAGAGGACACAUAAGGAAUUCAGCAAAGACAGAAGUCCAAGCAGAGAUGUUCUGUCAGUAAGAGCUUGUUAUUGCCAACACUGUGAGCCAACUAGGCCGAUCCAUAAGCCUGGCAGAAGCACUUAAUGGGAAGAAGGCCCCUAAUUUUUUUGGUUUGACUAUCCGAGCUUGGUUCAAUAGCAGAAAAUGCUGGUGCAACCAGCAUGGAAGUGCUAACAUAGCUUUACAGCUAUUUUGGUAUAGAUUAUUCACUCUUGGCUGUCUUUGCUGAUGCAAUAAGUCUUCCAAAUGCCAGGUUGCAUGAACAGAAGAUGACCUGCAUUGCAUGUGGGUAUCACAGCAUUCACCACAACAUUAUUUGGAGCGCUUUCAUAGUCUUGGCAGUCAUCAUAAGGAGCUGUGGGGAGUGAUGAUCACAUUCCUCCAAGCCUCUCCAUGAUCAUCCUUUUUUUUAUACAAUUUUUUAAAACCUUAAAUUCCCUUUGGUUCAUCAUCAGACUGCCACCUUUGUGCCAGGUUUCAUCUCAUCAUUAGAACUAUAGAUGCAGAAUAGUAGCAUGGAACAUUCACAGUGUAUGUUCAGAAAAAGGCCAACUGAUUCUUUUGCAGUUGUGAGCAACCAGCACAACAGCUGGCAGUACAGCAGUGGGAAUAAAAGGGAAAUGCAAACAGUGAACAAGACGGACAUCUCCUGUGAGGAGUUAUUGACCAGCAACACAUGGUGGAACAAAUGUUAAGUUAUGGCAUCAAACGUCAAGGCGGGGGGCGGGGCAGCAGAAUGUUCAGAUGUGAUCUUGCUCAAGUUGCAUAUGAAGCACGUUAGUUUUCUGAUAUGCCAAAAUGAGAAAACUGAGUUACAGUAAUGCUGGAGUAAGUAGAUUCCUUGAGGCAUUCAGAAUCGGUAUGUUUGGUAUGGUCAGAAGCUGCCACAACUCAAAAGAAGCAAACAACUGGGAAAUAGGGAACACGAAGUUUUAUGUCAUCUGCAGAAAAACAGCCAGUAGUCAAACUGUCUCUGAGGAAGAACAUUCACAAACAAGCUGGCCAGGCUUAUUCUUGGGGCAGAAUAAAGGAUGCAGUUAAAAAUUAAGUGUACAUCUUGAUCCACUGUGAAUGAAAGACAUAAUAAUGAAGAAAUACCAUUAAAUUUUCUCGUUUGAGGACUGGUAGGCUAAAAAACCUUGCUGAGCUCAAGUAAGAUAUGGAAAGAGAUAAGUGUAUAAUCAGAAAAAUGACUAAGCUGUUAACCACCCAGAGAAGGCAUCCUUGACUCUGAGAAAGGAUCAGAAAUCAGCUAAAGAUGGGAAGCGAAAAGUGACCCUGAGCCAACAGAUGAAAACAGAAGCCUGUUUUCUGAAAACUGCUGCAGAGGGAGUUAGAGGCUAUUCCUCUGCCUUAAGUUGACAGGAAUAGUAUUGAUUUUUAAGAGUACACAAAUGUUCAGCAGGACUAGGACCGACAGAAGCAUGUGGAGCCUGGUAUGCAAUGGGACAUUCAUCUUCAUGAAACAACUUCAUUCUACCAGGCAUAAAUUUGCUUUGACAAAGCAGUCCACAAGAAGCUCCAGACAGUUAGGUAGGGCAUCCCAGCACAAGCUGAGACACCUGAGAGGGAGCUGAAAGUUUUCCCAGCCAUGCAGGUAGUUUGGUGAUGUAUAGCAAAAUGGAACAACUGAUGAACGAACGUUAGUUCCUCAUUUAUGUUGUCACAACUGAAACUGUGCUUAUUCUCCUUGACCUGCAUUACUUAGAUCUGCCUGUCGUAUUUUAAGGCUCCCAUCAUCUUGAUAUCUCAGCACAACCUAUUUUCAUGUUAAGGGCCAUCUAUUCAUAUACCUCUUUCAAACGUGUUGGCACAAUUUUUCUGAAAGGAGUUCCUUCUAAUUUUUACUCCCUUCUCCAAAAUCCAUUUAAUCUAUCUGCUAACACAGAGGACCUUUUUAUUUGGUUCCUUUUAUGUUUGUUUCUGCUAUAGUAGCUUGUUAUUUCUUUUGCUAAAGCUUUAGAAAUCACUUGAGGAAUUUUAGUAAUGUAUUCAUUUUGAGGUAGCUGUAUCUUCAGAGCUGGUAAACAGAAAGUCUCUUAUCCACUUCAGUGGGCUUUGGAUCAGGUGUUUAAUGCUAACAUCAUUUCAGUUCUUCUAAUCUAGUUGUUUGGGGCCCAGCAUGCAGCUCCUGAGGCUGAUGAGAUUUUCACCAUAGGCUUUAAUGAGAGCAGAAUCAGCCCCUAGUUCCUGAGAGACAACCAAUAAAAAUCCUAAAGAAAUAAGUACAAGACUUUCUUGAACUGAGUCUUUGAUUUGAUUUGAUUCUGAAUCUCACUGGAUUUUUUUUCCACAGGCACCUUGACCUCUGUUCUAUGUCUUAUCCUAACAGGAUGAGCUGAAGUUUCCAUUACCUAGGCCUACUGGAGAUUGGGCCCAGCAGUCAUUUGGCAGUGGCCUUGCAAGAGCAGCAAUGCCAGCUCUCUCUUGCAAUGCCCACAUUCAGAGAUCUGUAGAAUUAGAGUCCAAAUUCUGCUUGUAUUUGCAAGCCCAGAACACCACUGACUUCAAGGGGGUUGUAGGAUUUUAGCCAAGAGCAGAAAUUGGUCCAGGAUUUUUUCAGAUUCCCUCAUGCUUCUGUUUAUAUGAUGUUAUCAUCAAGAACUAACAGCAUACUUCAUGAUGAAUUUUACUUUUAAAUUACAUAAAGGAUAUUUACUGUGCUGAUGCUACAUAGUUUGCAAGAAAGAUGCACAUAUGGAAAUGAAAACACACUGAUUACCAUUAGGAUUUCCAGCUUUCAGCAUUCAUUUUCCAAAACAACCCAGGGACUAUUUCUCAUCAAAAAAUGCAGAAAUGAAAAUCUUCUUUCUUGGCAUUUAUGUAUGCCAUUCAGGAGUCUUACUCAUCAAGUCUGUUGUGAAAAUGGUCAGAAUAAAAAAGCCUCGUAAUGUACAAAAAGUUCAGUACUCUGCUUUUGUUUUCUGUAUACUGGUUUCUCAGUCAGAGAUACAGAAUCAUAGAAUAUCGAAUUGGAAGAGACCCCUACAAGUAAUUGAUGUUCUUCUGCCUCUCAAGGGGUGGCAGAAGAGAGGAAGAUCUGGGGAAAGCUGAGUGAUCAGCAAGGACAACAUGUAAAAACACAGAUAAAGACUGAGAAUGAAUGGAUCAAAACUGUAAAAACAGGUCAGCAGGAUGCCAGGCAGAGCACGUUGGACGAUGCCCACUGCUGCCUGAAAGCAUCCGAGCAGCCAGCGGAGCCAGGUCAGUGCUGCCCAGAGCGAUGGCACCCGCUUCAGAGCCAGCAGCUCACUGAUGCUCUUGGAACUGCAAAAGGAACCUGAGAGCAAAAUAAUUGCUCAGUGUCUGUCUUAAGUAGGAAGCAGCAUAGGACAGAGGUCCUCCACAGAACAGAGCUCAUCUGGUUGUAGUGGGAGCUACUGAACUGCAUCAUUCCAAAUGAAGCAGAUUGUUUUGCUGCAUAGUUACAAAUCUGGGAGCUUCCUUCUAGAUAGCCUGCUUUAGAAAUCUGGGCUGGGGCCUUUAAAACCCUUGUCGACUCCUCAGUUAAGCUUUUACUAUCCAUGUUAAAUAGUUCAUUGAGCGUGGCCUGGUAUUUAGUAGAACAGUGUGCCAUUGUUGGCGAUGAGUAACUUUAGGCAAAGAAAUUAUUUUGUACCUCUGUGUUUUUUCUUCUCCAGCAUCUGCUUUGUUUAUGUAGAUAGUAAAGCCUUUCAGGGAAGGAGUGGCUCAUGCUAUGCAUGUCUAGUCACCAACACAGCGAACUCCAGUCUUACUGAGAGCUUCUCUGUGCUCCUCAGUCUCACUUAUUAACAGUAGCAUCUUAACACAUCUGUCUCUGUAUAUGCUUGCCUUUCACCCUACUGUAGAAACAGGGUUUUCAUAAUAAUUACAACUUGAAACUAAAAUCUGGAGUCCUAAAUUCUGUAACAUUACAGUAUCUGUAUAUCAUGCUUGCAUAAACCCUUGCACAAAUAGGUCACUGUACAGAAAGCCCAGAGGCUACCAACCGCUCUGGUGACCAGGUGCUAAAUUGUGAGUAUAAAGGGACCAGAGAUGGCUUAACAGAACAGCUUCGGUCACUGAAAAGUCUCCAUGCACACAAGAAAGCUGGCCCUGUCUGACUCUGCUCUAGUCUUUGCAGUUUAACGGGAGCAAAGGUCCUGCCAUCAGGGCAGUACUGCUUGGUGCUGCCUUAAUGGCAGCACUCCUUCCAAGGCCUUUAAAAGCCAGCAGAAUUUAGUGCAUCCCUGAGGGUGCUCUGGGCCAAUUUUUGCUUUUGCAAUUUUCUGUUGCCUCCACUGCAUGUAGCAGAGCUCUUAACUUGUAGUGUUUCACUGGAUUCUUGGAUUUAGAGGGCUGUUCUGUGUAAAUAAUCAUGGUGUCUGGGCACAUCCUGGUGUCUAGAAAGCAAACAGUAUGCUCAAAGCAUCUGUCAGGGAUCUAGAUACAAAUGUUCCAAAUGACAAAAAUGUCUGUUCAUCCAUUUACCUGCCUGCCUAGGAAUGCCAAGAGCACCAGACUACUACGGGUUUGAUGUUCUUGUUUGUUCUGUUACUGUCCAUCUGACCUUGCUAGUUCAGACAGGCUAUUUGUCAAUGCCAGAGAAAUCUGCUGCAGCAACAGGGGGAAUAUCCUGUGUCAGUAUUCUCCAGCUCCUUGAGGGAACUACCUCAUUAGAGAAGCUAAAACGUCGCUUUGAUUGCUUAGAAGCAAGCCAUUUAUUUUUCAAAAAUCUCCAAGCAGUUAUUCACUUCUUGUAAAAUUAUAAUGCCUGAAGUCUUUUUUCUGAAGCAGUCUUGGAUACUGCAAUGACUUGAAAUUUGCAGCCAAUAAAAAGUUUUACAGCAAAGCAGA